AACGAACGCUGGCGGCAGGCCUAACACAUGCAAGGCGAACGAAGUCUUCGGACUUAGUGGCGGACGGGUGAGUAACACGUGGGAACGUGCCUUUAGGUUCGGAAUGACUCAGGGAAACUUGUGAUAAUACCGAAUGUGCCCUUCGGGGAAAGAUUUAUCGCCUUUAGAGCGGCCCGCGUCUGAUUAGCUAGUUGGUGAGGGAAAGGCUCACCAAGGCGACGAUCAGUAGCUGGUCUGAGAGGAUGAUCAGCCACAUUGGGACUGAGACACGGCCCAAACUCCUACGGGAUGCAGCAGUGGGGAAUCUUGCGCAAUGGGCGAAAGCCUGGCGCAGCCAUGCCGCGUGAAUGAUGAAGGUCUUAGGAUUGUAAGAUUCUUUCACCGGGGACGAUAAUGACGGUACCCGGAGAAGAAGCCCCGGCUAACUUCGUGCCAGCCGCCGCAGUAAGAC
rnacentral:rRNA from 1 species